rnacentral:rRNA from 1 species
AUUGAACGCUGGCGGCAGGCCUAACACAUGCAAGUCGAGCGGAUGAAGGGAGCUUGCUCCUGGAUUCAGCGGCGGACGGGUGAGUAAUGCCUAGGAAUCUGCCUGGUAGUGGGGGAUAACGUCCGGAAACGGGCGCUAAUACCGCAUACGUCCUGAGGGAGAAAGUGGGGGAUCUUCGGACCUCACGCUAUCAGAUGAGCCUAGGUCGGAUUAGCUAGUUGGUGGGGUAAAGGCCUACCAAGGCGACGAUCCGUAACUGGUCUGAGAGGAUGAUCAGUCACACUGGAACGGGGACACGGUCCAGACUCCUACGGGAGGCAGCAGUGGGGAAUAUUGGACAAUGGGCGAAAGCCUGAUCCAGCCAGGCCGCGUGGGUGAAGAAGGUCUUCGGAUUGUAAAGCACUUUAAGUUGGGAGGAAGGGCAGUAAGUUAAUACCUUGCUGUUUUGACGUUACCAACAGAAUAAGCACCGGCUAACUUCGU